UGCAAGUCGAGCGGUAACAGGGGUAGCUUGCUACCCGCUGACGAGCGGCGGACGGGUGAGUAAUGCAUAGGAAUCUGCCCGAUAGUGGGGGAUAACCUGGGGAAACCCAGGCUAAUACCGCAUACGUCCUACGGGAGAAAGGGGGCUUCGGCUCCCGCUAUUGGAUGAGCCUAUGUCGGAUUAGCUAGUUGGUAAGGUAAUGGCUUACCAAGGCAACGAUCCGUAGCUGGUCUGAGAGGAUGAUCAGCCACAUCGGGACUGAGACACGGCCCGAACUCCUACGGGAGGCAGCAGUGGGGAAUAUUGGACAAUGGGGGCAACCCUGAUCCAGCCAUGCCGCGUGUGUGAAGAAGGCCCUCGGGUUGUAAAGCACUUUCAGCGAGGAAGAACGCCUAUCGGUUAAUACCCGGUAGGAAAGACAUCACUCGCAGAAGAAGCACCGGCUAACUCCGUGCCAGCAGCCGCGGUAAUACGGAGGGUGCAAGCGUUAAUCGGAAUUACUGGGCGUAAAGCGCGCGUAGGUGGCUUGAUAAGCCGGUUGUGAAAGCCCCGGGCUCAACCUGGGAACGGCAUCCGGAACUGUCAGGCUAGAGUGCAGGAGAGGAAGGUAGAAUUCCCGGUGUAGCGGUGAAAUGCGUAGAGAUCGGGAGGAAUACCAGUGGCGAANGCGGCCUUCUGGACUGACACUGACACUGAGGUGCGAAAGCGUGGGUAGCAAACAGGAUUAGAUACCCUGGUAGUCCACGCCGUAAACGAUGUCGACCAGCCGUUGGGUGCCUAGAGCACUUUGUGGCGAAGUUAACGCGAUAAGUCGACCGCCUGGGGAGUACGGCCGCAAGGUUAAAACUCAAAUGAAU
rnacentral:rRNA from 1 species